GAGGACAUUACCGAGUUUACAACUCCCAAACCCCUGUGAACAUACCAAUUGUUGCCUCGGCGGAUCAGCCCGCUCCCGGUAAAACGGGACGGCCCGCCAGAGGACCCCUAAACUCUGUUUCUAUAUGUAACUUCUGAGUAAAACCAUAAAUAAAUCAAAACUUUCAACAACGGAUCUCUUGGUUCUGGCAUCGAUGAAGAACGCAGCAAAAUGCGAUAAGUAAUGUGAAUUGCAGAAUUCAGUGAAUCAUCGAAUCUUUGAACGCACAUUGCGCCCGCCAGUAUUCUGGCGGGCAUGCCUGUUCGAGCGUCAUUUCAACCCUCAAGCCCAGCUUGGUGUUGGGACUCGCGAGUCAAAUCGCGUUCCCCAAAUUGAUUGGCGGUCACGUCGAGCUUCCAUAGCGUAGUAGUAAAACCCUCGUUACUGGUAAUCGUCGCGGCCACGCCGUUAAACCCCAACUUCUGAAUGUUGACCUCGGAUCAGGUAGGAAUACCCGCUGAACUUAAGCAUAUCAAUAAGCGGAGG
rnacentral:rRNA from 1 species